AACGAACGCUGGCGGCAUGCCUAACACAUGCAAGUCGAACGAUGGUCUUCGGAUCAUAGUGGCGCACGGGUGCGUAACGCGUGGGAAUCUGCCCUUGGGUUCGGAAUAACAGUUGGAAACGACUGCUAAUACCGGAUGAUGUCGAUAAGACCAAAGAUUUAUCGCCCGAGGAUGAGCCCGCGUCGGAUUAGCUAGUUGGUGGGGUAAAGGCCUACCAAGGCGACGAUCCGUAGCUGGUCUGAGAGGAUGAUCAGCCACACUGGGACUGAGACACGGCCCAGACUCCUACGGGAGGCAGCAGUGGGGAAUAUUGGACAAUGGGCGCAAGCCUGAUCCAGCAAUGCCGCGUGAGUGAUGAAGGCCUUAGGGUUGUAAAGCUCUUUUACCCGGGAAGAUAAUGACUGCACCGGGAGAAUAAGCCCCGGCUAACUCCGUG
rnacentral:rRNA from 1 species